UUUAAAGUGUAAUGUAAGUCGCUUUGGAUAAAAGCGUCUGCUAAAUGUAACGUA
rfam:Gasterosteus aculeatus cont1.014110, whole genome shotgun sequence.